UACAGAGGGGGCAAGCGUUGUUCGGAAUUACUGGGCGUAAAGGGCGCGUAGGCGGCCCGCUAAGUCGAACGUGAAAUCCCCGAGCUCAACUCGGGAACUGCGUCCGAUACUGGCGGGCUUGAAUCCGGGAGAGGGAUGACGGUAAUUCCAGGUGUGAGCGGUGAAAUGCGUAGAUAUCUGGAGGAACACCGGUGGCGAAGGCGGCAUCCUGGACCGGCAUUGACGCUGAGGCGGCGGAAAAGCUGAGGGGAGCAAACGGGG
rnacentral:rRNA from 1 species